rnacentral:rRNA from 1 species
CGGACGGGUGAGUAACGCGUGGGUAACCUGCCUCACACUGGGGGAUAACAGUUAGAAAUAGCUGCUAAUACCGCAUAAGCGCACGGUUCCGCAUGGAACAGUGUGAAAAACUCCGGUGGUGUGAGAUGGACCCGCGUCUGAUUAGCCAGUUGGCGGGGUAACGGCCCACCAAAGCGACGAUCAGUAGCCGGCCUGAGAGGGUGAACGGCCACAUUGGGACUGAGACACGGCCCAA